UCGGUGGGUGCAUUGCUCGGGUACGCGCAAGGCGCAAGCGAUAAGCGUGUUAUAGCCUGCAUUGGUGAUGGGAGCUUCCAGGUGAGAUAUCCCUCGAUCUGAUGAUCUCUGCUGCCGUGUGCUGCAAUAUAUAUUGCACUAUGUGCUGUUUCUAAUGUGAUGUCCGGGGGAUUCCGUUGUCUGCAGGUGACAGCACAGGAUGUGUCGACUAUGCUGCGGUGCGAACAGAACAGCAUAAUCUUCCUGAUCAACAAUGGCGGGUACACCAUCGAGGUGGAGAUCCACGACGGACCUUACAACGUCAUCAAGAACUGGAACUACACCGCCCUUGUGGAGGCCAUCCACAACGGGGAGGGCAAAUGCUGGACUGCCAAGGUAAGCACGCACUCUUUUGUCCAUUGCGCAAGCAUCAGAGAAGAAGGAGGCGAGCUUGCAGAACUGCUGCUGACGCAUGCUUUUGUGUUGGCGCAGGUGAAGUGCGAGGAGGAGCUGACGGCGGCGAUCGAGAUGGCGCUGGGGGAGAAGGAGGACUCUCUCUGCUUCAUCGAGGUGAUCGCGCACAAGGACGACACCAGCAAAGAGCUUCUGGAAUGGGGCUCCAGGGUCUCUGCUGCCAACUCCAGGCCACCCAAUCCCCAGUAGACAGACCGACCAAAGCCACGCCUGCAUCAGUAGUAGUAGCAGCAGCAGCAGCACGCACGUUGCCCAUCAAAUAAUGUUGAACAGUUUAUCUUUGCUCUUCUGUUAUGUUCUUAGUUUUGUGCCUUGUAGUGACUUGUGCCAUCGCCUGUGUUCUAUCCUGCCAAUGCUACGAAGAUUAUGAGAUAUUUUUAGCUUGCCUCAGCUAUUUUUCUACCUUCUUUCAAAAUGGUCGGCCAAUAUAAAUUGAAAAAUCACGAGCUACUACUGAGCGGCUCCUCGAGGAAUCUAGAAGCGCAAUACAACAUGCAUGGACUCGGAAUAGAAUCUUGCAAAUAUGAUAAGUAGUUUUGGUAAGAAAGUGAGCUAAUAAUGGUAAGCUAGCACUGCAACUUGUGGAGCAGUUCGGCCCUUUUUCUUGAAAAAACGUACUAAUUGUGGAGCAAGUAGGCUUGACGCUUUGUUCUCGGCAAAGGAAAGCCCUGCGUACGUACAUGCAUCUGCUGCAUCUCCUGGAGCUAUUGUGUUUGUUUGUGGGUUUUGAUAUUGCCACCUUGUGCUGCUUUCGCCGGCUAAAAGACGGACAGCGUGCUAGGGAUUGGUCAAUCAACCAUUUAUAACACCUAAAGCGAAAGGCAUGCCCUGCGUUUAUGUGGGCGCCACACCGCAAAUAUCAGAGGCUGCUUUGAGUAGAAAAGUGAGAUAACGACAACCUUUGAAGUUUCCGCAUGUGACAAGGACAGGGUAUCGCCGCUACGUGAUGUGGUUCAUCUGCCGCUUGUUUACCUGAAUGCGUCACGCUGGUUUAGAUUACGGAAAGUUAAAAGCAUCACAGGUAUCCCAACUUGCAUGAAAUGUGAUAAUUUAGUCUUAAGCUUAUAAAAUGCAACUCCACCAUACACCAGCUUGCAUUGGAUGUGUUUGAUUUGGUCCCCGGCCUAUCACAACGCGACAAUUCGCAGCUAGGUGGCCGGACCGGUCGUCGCCAACACUUCUACAGAAAAUACCCUACCGUUUUGUCUAAUUAACCCGCGCUAUAGGGGCACCUGAAUUAAAUUUGUCUCAAAUCCCCUUCGCGCCCGCCCAUUGCUUCUCUGUUAUGUUCCCCAUCUCCAGCUCCCUGCUCCUAGCUUGCUGCUAGCGUCAAGCUUUCAGCCGCAAUCUAGCUCCCCCUCAUGGUCUCGUGGGAUGAUCUCUCGAGCUCCUCGUUUGACGGCGACUCCGUCACAGUUAGGUUAGCCCCCUUGGUGAUGCAGCUAGGGUUAGGUUCAGGCAAGAAAAUUGGGAAUUAGACCGAAGAGGCCUAUUUGUUUUUGUUGUAGGCACCUGCCACCAUUUUCUGCUCGGAAUGGAAAGUCCUUGCUACUGAAUUUGCUUCUAGAUGUGAGCACCUAGCUGUGUGUGAGAAGCUGGUGGCAUUUUCUUCAGUGGAGGAGUGGUAGGAGGUUCUUAGCUUGUGCACAUAAGGUUAGUAGCUAAUUAUUCAUUUUGCAUAGCUUUCUAUUGCUUGAUCUGCGUAGUGUGUUUCAAGUGUUGAUGACUAUGCCAGUGUUUUUGUGUAAUCAUUACGUUUUUAGUUAGCACAGUGAUUCUGCAAUUCACUGGAUUUGUUCGGAGUUAACAUUCAACUGGAUUUUUUCAUUUUGAAUAGUUAACUGAAUUUGUGCAAUGUGAAUAGAUAAUAAUCUUUUGCAGUUAUUAUGUUAACUGUUAACUGAAUUUGUGCAGUGUGGAUAGAUAACUGAGCUUUUUCAGUUAUUAUGUUAAUUGUUAACUGCAUUUGGUUAGUUAACUGCCUUUCUGAACUUAAGUGUUUUCAUUUUACAAAUAUGUCACCAUUUGUGCACAUAACUUAAUUUUUGCACGGGUUUAUGUGAAUUCUCUAUUGGUUUCUGUUUAGGCCUAAUUGUAAAUUUCUCUUUUUUCAAUUGAUAGGAAGCACCUAAAUGCAACUAUGUUGAGUGGGUUGACCCUGAGUGGCUUGCCCCUUUGAAGAUGAGCCCAGCUAGGAUUUGGGACAUGUAUGAGGAUGAGAACAAGCUGAGGCUGAGGCAAAAUGUAGUUAAUGCAGAAGAAAUUUCAAGAUCCUGGGAGAGAAGGAGAAGAUGGAAAAGGAGUUGAGGUUUUUUAAGGUUGAUUUUAUAAAAAAUGUUAGCUCACAAAGAGCAGGCAUUGGCCUAACUAGGCAACACACAGCUUGCUUUGACAGACCUGAAGCAAGAACUUGGGAAGAAGAAAAUUUGUGACAAAUCUGUCACAAAUAUUCAUCAGGUUGUGAGGGCCAAGGUAGAGAAAGAGAGGGACCUAAUGCAGCAGGAGAGGGAAAAUUAAUGGAAGAGAGGGACAAUUUGGUGUUGAAGAGAGAUCAGCUAAAGUAAGAUAAAAAGAAGUUGGAGUAUACGAUGGGUGAUCUUUUCAAGCAUAAGGAGGAAACCAAGGGCUAGAUAAGCAAGCUAAAGGAGAUGCUGAUGAAUUUGAGUGAUGAUGUGCAAUGUUAUUGUAAAAAGUUGUAGUAGCUCUAAUUUGAUGAACUGGCAGAGAUAUUUAAGUGAUUUGUGUGAACUGGCAGAAGUACUUUCUGUAAUGCAGUAUGUGUGAACUUGAGUAAUGUGUGUAAUGCAGCAUAUGUGAACUCUAGUAACUUGCAAGUGUUAAAAUUUAAGUGAUUUGUUUGAAACUGUUAAAAUUUAAAUGAUUUUUACCCAGUUUACUAAAUAUGCCUGAAAGUGUUAAAUUUAAACUGAAUUUUAUCCAGUUAACUGGAUUUGGCUGAAAGUGUUAUAGUUCAAGUGAAUCAGUUAUUGAUCCUGUAUUUUUGAUCCUGUAUUAUAGUUUACUAAAUUUAUCCCCUUAACUGAAUAGUACCAAAAUGUCUCACUAUUGACAGGUAAGUGGAUUUAUCCCCUUAACUGAAAAUUUGACAGAAAGAUAAUUGAACUGUUGUUUAAUACUGUUUCAGUUUACUGCUGUUUCUCAGUUAACUGAAUUCUUUCAGUAAACUAAAUUAUUUCAGUUAACUGAAUUAUUUCUGUUAACUGAAUUCUAAAGGUAAGUUACUUUAUCGAAAUGAGCUAACUGGAUUUUUUAGUUAAUUGAAAGUUACUUUAUCCAGUUUAACUUAAUUUGUGUGUAAGUGUGAAUAGCUAAGUGAUUUGUCCAGCUAACAAAAUUUGGUUCUAAGUGCAAAUUCAAUUAUCUGAAUUUGCAUGAGGAGGCAUCAGUGUACAUCCUAUUUUGGUACAAUGCAAAUUAUUUGCCUACACAAUGUUGCAUUCUCUUUUUUGGAAAGUUGUAGCAAAAAAACAUAGCAAAAAUGGCACAUCACACCAACAUAGGAGCACAUCACAGCAACAAUGGCAGUAAUUUAAAGGAAAUAAAACAUCAUCAUCCAUAGCAUAGUAGAGCAAUACUUGUUCACAUCAAACUCCACUAGCAGAUCAGACAUUAAACUGGUUGACAUGAUCCAUAGCAUACCAUAGUACUUUGUUCACUACUUAACUUAUGUGCUCAAAUAUAGGAGCACACCUAAGCAACAUGCCCAAAAUAUUUCUAACUUAUAUGCUGCAAUAUACUAGCAUACGUAAGCUCUUCUUCAAGCAUCUUCAUUGCAUCAGCGCUAGCUUUAGUUGAUUUUCAACAGCUUCGGGCGCUUCGAGCAGCGAGGUUCCCCUGCAACGAGAGCCCUCUUCUUCCCUGUCGCCCUCUUCUUCUUAUGGCCAUGGCCUAGUUCCUACACCAUGGCCUCCUCCUCAGCUUCUUUCUUGACGAGGGUGAUGUGAGGCAUGAUAACCCACAAGUUUUUAGGGGAUCGCAAUAGUUUUCGAGGGUAGAGUAUUCAAUCCAAAUUUAUAGAUUCAACACAAGGGGAGCCAAAGAAUAUUUGCAAGUAUUAGCAGCUGACUUGUCAAUUCAACCACAGUUGGAGAUUAAUUAUCUGCAUCAAAGUGAUCAGUAGCACAAUAAUAUGAUAGUUUUGAUGGCAGUGGUAACAACAGUAGUAACAGUAACAGUGAUAGCAAUAAUUUUGUAGCAAUUGUGACAGUAGCAAUAACAAUAAUAUCUGAAAAACUUGUAGGCAUUGGAUCGGUGAAUUCGUUGGAUGAUAUUCAUCAUAUAACAUUCAUAACCUAAGGCGGUAGAAAUCUAGCACUAGUUCAUAAAUAUAAUGUAGGCAUGUAUUCUGUAAAUAGUCAUACGUGCUUAUGGAAAGAACUUGCAUGGAAUCUUUUGUCCUACCCUCCCGUGGCAGCGGGGUUCGUAAGGAAACUAAGGGAUAUUAAGGCCUCCUUUUAAUAGAGCAUUGAAACAAAGCAUUAACAAAUAGUGAAUACAUGAACUCCUCAAACUACGGCAUCACCUGAAAAUAUCCCGACUAUUGUCACUCCAGGAUUUGCGGAUCAUAACACGUAUGAGGUGCAUAUAACUUGUAAGAUCGGACAUAGAACAUAGAUAUAAUGGUGAAAACAUAAACGGUUCAGAUCCGAGAUCAUGGCAUCCUAGCCCAAAGUGACAAGCAUUAUGCAUGGCAAAGUCAUAGCAACAUCAAUCUCAGAACAUAAUGUAUACUAGGGAUCAAGCCCUAACAAAACUAACUCGAUUACAUGAUGAAUCUCAUAUAACUCUCUCACCGACCAGCGAGCCUACGAAAGAAUUACUCACUCCCAGUGGGGAGCAUGGAAUUGGCGAUGGAGAAGGGUUGGUGAUGACGAAGAUCAAAGAUUCCCCUCUCCGGAGCCCCAAAUGGGCUCCAUAUCUGGCCUCCCAAUGAAGAACAGGAGGUGGCGGCGGCUCCAUCUCGUGAAACGCGAUAAUUCUUUUUCUCUAUUUUUUUCCCGAAAAUAGGAUUUUAUAGCGUCGGAGAUAGGGUCAGCGGGGCCACCAAGUGGGCACAAUCCACCUGGGCGCACCAGGAGGGGGGCCGCCCUGGUGGGUUGUGCUCACCCAGGGGCCCCCCUUCGGUGGUUCUUGUUGGAAAUAUGCCCUAGAGGCAAUAAUAAAAGGAUUAUUAUUAUAUUUCCUUGUUUAUGAUAAUUGUCUUUUAUUCAUGCUAUAAUUGUGUUAUCCGGAAAUCGUAAUACACGUGUGAAUACAUAGAGACAAUAUGGAUGAAAGAGUUCAUCACCGACCUAGGAGUCAUACCAGAUGCGUCGGGGCCGAUCACUCUCUUCUGUGACAACACUGGAGCUAUUGCCCUUGCCAAGGAGCCCAGGUUUCACAAGAAGACCAGGCACAUCAAGCGUCGUUUCAACUCCAUCUGUGAAAAUGUUCAAAUGGAGACAUAGAUAUUUGCAAAGUACAUACGGAUCUGAAUGUCGAAGAUCCGUUGACUAAACCUCUUCCGCGAGCAAAACAUGAUCAACACCAGAACUCUAUGGGUGUUCGAUUCAUCACAGUGUAACUAGAUUAUUGACUCUAGUGCAAGUAGGAGAUUGUUGGAAAUACGCCCUAGAGGCAAUAAUAAAAGGAUUAUUAUUAUAUUUCCUUGUUUAUGAUAAUUGUCUUUUAUUCAUGCUAUAAUUGUGUUAUCCGGAAAUUGUAAUACACGUGUGAAUACAUAGACCACAAUAUGUCCCUAGUGAGCCUCUAGUUGACUAGCUCGUUGAUCAUCAGAUAGUCAUGGUUUCCUGACUAUGGAAAUUGGAUGUCGUUGAUAACGGGAUCACAUCAUUAGGAGAAUGAUGUGAUGGAUAAGACCCAAUCCUAAGCAUAGCACAAGAUCGUGUAGUUCGUUUGCUAGAGCUUUUCCAAUGUCAAGUAUCUUCUCCUUAGACCAUGAGAUCGUGUAACUCCCGGAUACCGUAGGAGUGCUUUGGGUGUACCAAACGUCACAAUGUAACUGGGUGACUAUAAAGGUAUACUACGGGUAUCUUCGAAAGUGUCUGUUGGGUUGACACGGAUCGAGACUGGGAUUUGUCACUCCGUAUGACGGAGAGGUAUCUCUGGGCCCACUCGGUAAUGCAUCAUCAUAAUGAUCUCAAAGUGACCAAGUGUCUGGUCACGGGAUCAUGCAUUACGGUACGAGUAAAGUGACUUGCCGGUAACGAGACUGAACGAGGUAUUGGGAUACCGACCAUCGAAUCUCGGGCAAGUAACAUACCGAUUGACAAAGGGAAUUGUAUACAGGGUUGCUUGAAUCCUCGACAUCGUGGUUCAUCCGAUGAGAUCAUCGAGGAGCAUGUGGGAGCCAACAUGGGUAUCCAGAUCCCGCUAUUGGUUAUUGACCGGAGAGCAGUCUCGGUCAUGUCUACGUGUCUCCCGAACCCGUAGGGUCUACACACUUAAGGUUCGGUGACGCUAGGGUUGUAGAGAUAUUAGUAUGCAACAAACCAAAAGUUGUUCAGAGUCCCGGAUGAGACCUCGGACGUCACGAGGAGUUCCGGAAUGGUCCGGAGGUAAAGAAUUAUAUAUGGGAAGUCAAGUUUCGGCCAUCGAGAAAGUUUUGGGGGUCACCGGUAUUGUACCGGGACCACCGGAAGGGUCCGGCGGGUCCACCGGGUGGGGCCACCCAUCCCGGAGGGCCCCAUGGGCUGAAGUGGGAGGGGAACCAGCCCCUGGUGGGCUUGUGCGCCCCCCUUGGCCCCCCCUACGCCUAGGGUUGGGAACCCUAGGGGAGGGGGCGCCUCCACUUGCCUUGGGGGGCAAGGCACCCCCUUGGCCGCCCCCCCUAGGAGAUCCCAUCUCCUAGGGCCGGCAACCCCCUGGGGUCCCUAUAUAAAGAAGGGGGAGGGAAGGCAGCCGCACCCUUGCACUUGGUGCCUUCCUUCCCCUUGCUACACCUCUCCCUCCCGCACACGCUUGGCGAAGCCCUGCCGGGAUCCCUGCUGCAUCCACCACCACGCCGUCGUGCUGCUGGAGCUUCAUCAACCUCUCCUUCCCCCUUGCUGGAUUAAGAAGGAGGAGACGUCACGCUGACCGUACGUGUGUUGAACAUGGAGGUGCCGUCCGUUCGGCGCUAGGAUCUCCGGUGAUUUGGAUCACGACGAGUACGACUCCCUCAACCCCGUUCUCUUGAACGCUUCCGCUCGAUCUACAAGGGUAUGUAGAUGCACUCCUCUCUCUCGUUGCUAGAUGAACUCAUAGAUUGAUCUUGGUGAAACCGUAGGAAAUUUUUUGUUUUCUGCAACGUUCCCCUUCAGUGGCAUCAUAAGCUAGGUCUAUGCAUAGUUCUCUUUGCACGAGUAGAACACAAAUCUGUUGUGGGCGUAGAUGUUGUCAACUUUCUUGCCACUACUAGUCUUAUUUUGCUUCAGCGAUAUUGUGGGAUGAAGCGGCCCGGACCGACCUUACAUGUACGCUUACGUAAGACAGGUUCCACCGACUGACAUGCACUAGUUGCAUAAGGUGGCUAGCGGGUGUCUGUCUCUCCCACUUUAGUUGGAGCAGAUUCGAUGAAAAGGGUCCUUAUGAAGGGUAAAUAGAAGUUGACAAAUCACGUUGUGGCUUUUUCGUAGGUAAGAAAACGUUCUUCCUAGAACCCUAUUGCAGCCACGUAAAAGAUGCAACAACAAUUAGAGGACGUCUAACUUGUUUUUGCAGCAAUUGCUUUGUGAUGUGAUAUGGCCAAAAGUUGUGAUGAAUGAUGAAUGAUAUAUUGUGAUGUAUGAGAUCAUGUUCUUGUAAUAGGAAUCACGACUUGCAUGUCGAUGAGUAUGACAACCGACAGGAGCCAUAGGAGUUGUCUUAAUUAUUGUAUGACCUGCGUGUCAAUGAUUUAACGUCAUGUAAUUACUUUACUUUAUUGCUAAACCGUUAGCUAUAGUAGUAGAAGUAAUAGUUGGCGAGCAACUUCAUGGAGACACGAUGAUGGAGAUCAUGAUGAUGGAGAUCAUGGUGUCAUGCCGGUGACGAAGAUGAUCAUGGAGCCCCGAAGAUGGAGAUCAAAGGAGCUAUAUGAUAUUGGCCAUAUCAUGUCACUACUAUUUGAUUGCAUGUGAUGUUUAUCAUGUUUUUGCAUCUUGUUUACUUAGAACGAUGGUAGUAAAUAAGAUGACCCCUCAUAAUAAUUUCAAGAAAGUGUUCCCCCUAACUGUGCGCCGUUGCGACAGUUCGUUGUUUUAAAGCACCACGUGAUGAUCGGCUGUGAUAGAUUCUAACGUCACAUACAACGUGUGUAAGACAGAUUUACACAUGCAAAACACUUAGGUUAACUUGACGAGCCUAGCAUGUACAAACAUGGCCUCGGAACACAAAGAUCGAAAGGUCGAACAUGAGUCAUAUGGAAGAUACGAUCAACAUGGAGAUGUUCACUGAUGAUGACUAGUCCGUCUCACGUGAUGAUCGGACACGGCCUAGUCAACUCGGAUCAUGUAACACUUAGAUGACUAGAGGAUGUCUAAUCUGAGUGGGAGUUCAUUAAAUAAUUUGAUUAGAUGAACUUAGUUAUCAUGAACUUAGUCUAAAAUCUUUGCAAAAAAUGUCUUGUAGAUCAAAUGGCCAACGCUCAUGUCAACAUGAACUUCAACACGUUCCUAGAGAAAACCAAGCUGAAAGAUGAUGGCAGCAACUAUACAGACUGGGUCCGGAACCUAAGGAUCAUCCUCAUAGCUGCCAAGAAAGCAUAUGUCCUAGAAGGACCACUAGGUGAAGCACCCAUCCCAGAGAACCAAGACGUUAUGAACGCUUGGCAGUCACGUGCUGAUGAUUACUCCCUCGUUCAGUGUGGCAUGCUUUACAGCUUAGAACCGGGGCUCCAAAAGCGUUUUGAGCAACACGGAGCAUAUGAGAUGUUCGAGGAGCUGAAAAUGGUUUUCCAAGCUCAUGCCCGGGCCGAGAGAUAUGAAGUCUCUCACAAGUUCUAUAGUUGUAAGAUGGAGGAAAAUAGUUCUGUCAGUGAGCACAUACUCAAAAUGUCUGGGUUGCACAACCGCCUGUCCCAGCUGGACAUUAACCUCCCGGACGAGGCGGUCAUUGACAGAAUCCUUUAGUCGCUCCCACCGAGCUACAAGAGCUUUGUGAUGAACUACAAUAUGCAGGAGAUGGUGAAAACUAUUCCUGAAGUAUUUUCAAUGCUGAAGUCAGCAGAGGUAGAAAUCAAAAAGGAACAUCAAGUGUUGAUGGUCAAUAAAACCACUAAGUUCAAGAAAGGCAAGGGUAAGAAGAACUUCAAGAAGGACGGCAAGGAUGUUGCCACACCCGGUAAUCCAAUUGCCGGGAAGAAGUCAAAGAAUGGACCCAAGCCUGAAACUAAGUGCUUUUAUUGCAAAGGGAAGGAUCACUGGAAGCGGAACUGCCCCAAAUACUUAGCGGGCAAGAAGGCCGGCAACACAAAAGGUAUAUGUGAUAUACAUGUAAUUGAUGUGUACCUUACCAGUGCUCGUAGUAGCUCCUGGGUAUUUGAUACCGGUGCCGUUGCUCAUAUUUGUAACUCAAAGCAGGAGCUGCGGAAUAAGCGGAGACUGGCGAAGGACGAGGUGACGAUGCGCGUCGAGAAUGGUUCCAAGGUCGAUGUGAUCGCCGUCGGCAUGCUACCUCUAUAAUUACCCACGAGAUUAGUUUUAAACCUCAAUAAUUGUUAUUUAGUGCCAACUUUGAGCAUGAACAUUGUAUCUGGAUCUCAUUUAAUGCGAGAUGGCUACUCAUUUAAAUCCGAGAAUAAUGGUUGUUCUAUUUAUACGAGAGAUAUGUUUUAUGGUCAUGCCCCGAUGGUCAGUGGUUUAUUAUUAAUGAAUCUCGAACGUAAUGUUACACAAAUUCAUAGUGUGAAUACCAAAAGAAGUAAAGUUGAUAACAAUAGUCCCACAUACUUGUGGCACUGCCGUCUUGGUCACAUUGGUGUCAAGCGCAUGAAGAAGCUCCAUGCAGAUGGACUUUUAGAGUCUCUCGAUUAUGAAUCAUUUGACACAUGCGAACCAUGCCUCAUGGGCAAAAUGACCAAGACUCCAUUCUCCGGAACAAUGGAGCGAGCAACCAACUUAUUGGAAAUCAUACAUACUGAUGUGUGCGGUCCAAUGAGCGUUGAGGCUCGCGGAGGAUAUCGUUAUGUUCUCACUCUCACUGAUGACUUGAGUAGAUAUGGGUAUGUCUACUUGAUGAAACACAAGUCUGAGACCUUUGAAAAGUUCAAGGAAUUUCAGGAUGAAGUAGAGAAUCAACGUGACCGAAAAAUAAAGUUCUUACGAUCAGAUUGUGGAGGAGAAUAUUUAAGUCACAAAUUUGGUACGCACUUAAGGAAAUGUGGAAUCGUUUCACAACUCACGCCGCCUGGAACACCUCAGCAUAACGGUGUGUCCGAACGUCAUAAUCGCACUCUAUUGGAUAUGGUGCAAUCUAUGAUGUCUCUUACCGAUUUACCGCUAUCAUUUUAGGGAUACGCUCUAGAGACAACUACAUUCACUUUAAAUAGGGCUCCGUCUAAAUCCGUUGAGACGACACCAUAUGAAUCAUGGUUUGGGAAGAAACCUAAGCUGUCGUUUCUAAAAGUUUGGGGAUGCGAUGCUUAUGUCAAGAAACUUCAACCUGAAAAGCUCGAACCCAAGUCAGAAAAAUGCGUCUUCAUAGGAUACCCUAAGGAAACCAUUUUGUAUACCUUCUACCUUAGAUCCAAAGGCAAGAUCUUUGUUGCCAAGAACGGAUCCUUUCUGGAAAAAGAGUUUCUCUCGAAAGGAGUAAGUGGGAGGAAAGUAGAACUUGAUGAAGUACUACCUCUUGAACCGGAAAGUAGUGCAGCUCAGGAAAAUGUUCCUGUGGUGCCUACACCGACUGGAGAGGAAAUUAAUGAUGAUGAUCAAGGUACUUCGGAUCAAGUUGCUACUGAACUUCGUAGGUCCACAAGGACACGUUCCACACCAGAGUGGUAUGGCAACCCUGUCCUGGAAAUCAUGUUGUUAGACAACGGUGAACCUUCGAACUAUGAAGAAGUGAUGGCGGGCCCAGAUUCCAACAAAUGGCUUGAAGCCAUGCAAUCCGAGAUAGAAUCCAUGUAUGAAAACAAAGUAUGGACUUUGACAGACUUGCCCGAUGAUCGGCGAGCGAUAGAAAAUAAAUGGAUCUUUAAGAAGAAGACGGACGCGGAUGGUAAUGUUGCCAUCUAUAAAGCUCGACUUGUCGCUAAGGGUUAUCGGCAAGUUCAAGGGGUUGACUACGAUGAGACUUUCUCUCCCGUAGCGAAGCUGAAAUCCGUCCGAAUCAUGUUAGCAAUUGCUGCAUACUAUGAUUAUGAGAUAUGGCAGAUGGACGUCAAAACGGCAUUCCUUAACGUCUAUCUUAAGGAAGAACUGUAUAUGAUGCAGCCGGAAGGUUUUGUCGAUCCUAAGAAUGCUAACAAGGUAUGCAAGCUCCAGCGAUCCAUUUAUGGGCUGGUGCAAGCAUCUCGGAGUUGGAACAUCCGCUUUGAUGAGAUGAUCAAGGCGUUUGGGUUUUGCAGACUUAUGGAGAAGCCUGCGUUUACAAGAAAGUGAGUGGGAGCUCUAUAGCAUUUAUCAUAUUAUAUGUAGAUGACAUACUUCUGAUGGGAAAUGAUAUAGAACUUUUGGACAGCAUUAAGGCCUACUUGAAUAAGUGUUUUUCAAUGAAGGAUCUUGGAGAAGCUGCUUACAUAUUAGGCAUCAAGAUCUAUAGGGAUAGAUCGAGAUGCCUCAUAGGUCUUUCACAAAGCACAUACCUUGAUAUGAUAUUGAAGAAGUUCAAUAUGGAUCAGUCCAAGAAAGGGUUCUUGCCUGUAUUGCAAGGUGUGAGAUUGAGCUCGGCUCAAUGCCCGACCACGGCAGAAGAUAAAGAAGAGAUGAGUGUCAUCCCCUAUGCCUCAGCCAUAGGAUCUAUUAUGUAUGCCAUGCUGUGUACCAGACCUGAUGUAAACCUUGCCAUAAGUUUGGUAGGAAGGUACCAAAGUAAUCCUGGCAAGGAACACUAGACAGCGGUCAAGAAUAUCCUGAAGUACCUGAAAAGGACAAAGGACAUGUUUCUCGUUUAUGGAGGUGACGAAGAGCUCGUCAUAAAGGGUUACGUCGAUGCUAGCUUCGACACAGAUCUAGAUGACUCUAAGUCACAAAUCGGAUACAUGUAUAUGUUGGAGCAGUAAGCUGGUGCAGUUGCAAGCAGAGCGUCAUGGCGGGAUCUACAUGUGAAGCGGAGUACAUGGCAGCCUCGGAGGCAGCGCAUGAAGCAAUAUGGAUGAAAGAGUUCAUCACCGACCUAGGAGUCAUACCAGAUGUGUCGGGGCCGACCACUCUCUUCUGUGACAACACUGGAGCUAUUGCCCUUGCCAAGGAGCCCAGGUUUCACAAGAAGACCAGGCACAUCAAGCGUCGUUUCAACUCUAUCUGUGAAAAUGUUCAAGAUGGAGACAUAGAUAUUUGCAAAGUACAUACGGAUCUGAAUGUCGCAGAUCCAUUGACUAAACCUCUUCCGCGAGCAAAACAUGAUCACCACCAGAACUCUAUGGGUGUUCGAUUCAUCACAAUGUAACUAGAUUAUUGACUCUAGUGCAAGUGGGAGACUGUUGGAAAUAUGCCCUAGAGGCAAUAAUAAAAGGAUUAUUAUUAUAUUUACUUGUUUAUGAUAAUUGUCUUUUAUUCAUGCUAUAAUUGUGUUAUCCGGAAAUCGUAAUACACGUGUGAAUACAUAGACCACAAUAUGUCCCUAGUGAGCCUCUAGUUGAGUAGCUCGUUGAUCAACAGAUAGUCAUGGUUUCCUGACUAUGGACAUUGGAUGUCGUUGAUAACGGGAUCACAUCAUUAGGAGAAUGAUGUGAUGGACAAGACCCAAUCCUAAGCAUAGCACAAGCUCGUGUAGUUCGUUUGCUAGAGCUUUUCCAAUGUCAAGUAUCUUCUCCUUAGACCAUGAGAUCGUGUAACUCCCGGAUACCGUAGGAGUGCUUUGGGUGUACCAAACGUCACAACGUAACUGGGUGACUAUAAAGGUAUACUACGGGUAUCUCCGAAAGUGUCUGUUAGGUUGACACGGAUCGAGACUGGGAUUUGUCACUCCGUAUGACGGAGAGGUAUCUCUGGGCCAACUCGUAAUGCAUCAUCAUAAUGAGCUCAAAGUGACCAAGUGUCUAGUCACAGGAUCAUGCAUUACGGUAUGAGUAAAGUGACUUGCCGGUAACGAGAUUGAACGAGGUAUUGGGAUACCGACGAUCGAAUCUCGGGCAAGUAACAUACCGAUUGACAAAGGGAAUUGUAUAUGGGGUUGCUUGAAUCCUCGACAUCGUGGUUCAUCCGAUGAGAUCAUCGAGGAGCAUGUGGCAGCCAACAUGGGUAUCCAGAUCCCGCUGUUGGUUAUUGACCUGAGAGCAGUCUUGGUCAUGUCUAUGUGUCUCCCGAACCCGUAGGGUCUACACACUUAAGGUUCGGUGAUGCUAGGGUUGUAGAGAUAUUAGUAUGCAGCAAACCGAAAGUUGUUCGGAGUCCCAGAUGAGAUACCGGACAUCACGAGGAGUUCCGGAAUGGUUCGGAGGUAAAGAAUUAUAUAUGGUAAGUCGAGUUUCGGCCAUCAGGAAAGUUUCGGGGGUCACUGGUAUUGUACCGGGACCACCGGAAGGGUCCCGGGGGUCCACCGGGUGGGGCCACCCAUCCCGGAGGGCCCCAUGGGCUGAAGUGGGAGGGGAACCAACCCCUAGUGGUCUGCUGCGCCCCCCUUGGGCCCCCUGCCCCUAGGGUUGGGAACCCUAGGGGAGGGGGCGCCUCCACUUGCCUUGGGGGGCAAGGCACCCCCUUGGCCUCCGCCCCCCUAGGAGAUCCCAUCUCCUAGGGACGGUGCCCCCCCUGGGGUCCCUAUAUAAAGAAGGGGGAGGGAGGGCAGCCGCACCCUUGCACUUGGCGCCUCCCUUCCCCUUGCUACACCUCUCCCUCCCACAGACGCUUGGCGAAGCCCUGUUGGGUUCCCUGCUGCAUCCACCACCAGGUCGUCGUGCUGCUGGAUCUUCAUCAACCUCUCCUUCCCCCUUGCUGGAUCAAGAAGGAGGAGACGUCACGCUAACCGUACAUGUGUUGAACACGGAGGUGCCAUCCGUUCGGCGCUAGGAUCUCCGGUGAUUUGGAUCACGACGAGUACGACUCCCUCAACCCGUUCUCUUGAACGCUUCCGCUUGAUCUACAAGGGUAUGUAGAUGCACUCCUCUCUCUCGUUGCUAGAUGAACUCAUAGAUUGAUCUUGGUGAAACCGUAGGAAAAUUUUUGUUUUCCGCAACGUUCCCCUUCAGUUCUUGGCUCCAGUAUUUUUCUUUUAUUCCAUAAAAAUUCUCCAAAAAGUUUCGUUCCAUUCCGGGAACUUUUAUUUUUGCACAAAAACACACCAUGAUAGUUCUGCUGAAAACAGCAUCAGUCCGGGUUAGUAUCAUUCAAAUCAUGUAAAUUAGAGUCCAAAACAAGAGCAAAAGCAUUAGGAAAAGUAGAUAUGACGGAGACGUAUCAAGUCCCCCAAGCUUAAACCUUUGUUUGUCCUCAAGCAAUUUAGUUGAUAAACUGAAAGUGAAAAAGAAAAACUUUUACGAACACUUUUGCUCUUGUUUACAUAAAUAAGGUUAAGUAGCACCCAGGUUUUUAGCAAAGAUUAUGGCUAACCAUGUCGAUAAUAACUCUUAAAAAUUAUAUUAACUCAUAUCAAUGGCAUAAUCAACUAGAGAGCAAUAAUAAGAUAUCUCAAAUGACAACACUUUGUCAACACAACCAUGGUAUAGUAUGACAAUAGUGGUAUCUCGCUAGUCCUUUCUGAGACCGCAAAACAUAAAUGCAGAGCACCUCCAAAGUUCAUGCAACGACUAAACAUUGUAAUUCAUGGUAGAAAAGAUCCAGUCAUGAUGCACCCAACAUUAAUGAUACACAAUGCAGGAGGAUGACAAUAGUGCUCUCAGAUAUGGCCCUUAUUUGCGAAGGUGAUGACUCAACAUAAAAGUAAAUAGAUAGUCCCUUCACAGAGGGAAGCAGGGAUUUGCAAUGGUGCCAGAGCUCAGAUUUUUAAAACAGAGAUAAAUGAAAAUUUGAGAAAUGAACCCUUCAUGUUUACUUUGCGACCAUCAGUUAUCGAUAUCUUACAUGCUAAACACAUUAGUGGGGUUCCCAAGCGAUAAAAGUAAAGGUUUACCCCCCUCCACCAACAAACACAUUCCACGGCUAGCUGAAUCCAUGGGUACCGUCCAUACCAGCAUCAUUUCUGGGGGAGUUUUGUUUAACUAUUUGCAAUUUGAAUUCGGGACUGGGAAUCCCUAUUACCGCCCCUCUCGUGCAAGGACAAGUGAAUAAACACUCAUCAUGAGAAUAACCCACUUAGCAUGGAAGAUAACGGCUACCUCCUGUCGCUCUACGAACAAUCCAGGCACACAAAAACGGAAGUUUGUUUGAGGUUUUUAGAGGUGGCACAUGCAAAUUUACUUAGAACGGCAGGGUAAUACCAUAUAUAGGUAGAUAUAAUGGACUCAUGUGGAAUAACUCUAGGUUUAGGAUUUUGAUGCACAAGUAGUAUUCCUCUUAGUACAGGCGAAUGCUAGCAAAUAGGUUGAGAAGCGGCCAGCUAGAGAGCGAAAACGGUCACGAACAUGCAUUAUGCAUAAUAAACAUUGAGUACUAGCAUGAGUAGGAUAUGAACACCAUGAACAUAAAUAUCAGGUUUUGAUUCAACUACAUGCAUGAACAUGUGCCAAGUCAAGCCACUCGAACAUUCAGAGGAGGAUACCAUAUCAUCAUACUACAUCACAACCAUUUUAACGCAAUGUUGACAUCCAAGAUAAAUCAUUAUCCACUCCUAGCUACUUAAACAUGGCAUGAGAAACUAUAAUAUCUAAUUGUCAUUACAACAUGUUUGAUCAUAAUAUGUUGAAUCAUGGAUACUAGGUUAAACAUAUUUACAAAAACAGAACAAGUUGAGUUCAUACCUGUUUCUCUCUGCCACAGCCAGUUCAUCAAAUAUCGUCAUUAUUGCCUUUCACUUGCACGACCAAAUGAUAUGAGAAUAAUAAUAGUGCAAGAGUGUCAUGGACUAAGCUGGAAUCUGCAAACAUUUUAUUCAACAAGGAGAAGACAAGGUAAUAAGGCCCUUUGUUGGAUCAAUAUAAAUGCAUAUGAGAGCCACUCAAUAGUUUCAUCGUGGUCUUCUCCUUAGUAUGACUCAAUAAAAAGAAAAGAGGUUCAGAGAAACACACUGAAAUAAUUUUGGAAUUUUUAGUUUUUCUUGAAGAAAGCCAAUGAUACAUCCAUUUUGCAUCAUGAUUUUAUAUCGAUAUUUAUUGCAUUAUGGGCUGUUAUUACACGUUAUGUCACAAUACUUAUGCCUUUUCUCUAUUAUUUUGUAAGGUUUGCACGAAGAGGGAGAAUGCCGGCAGCUGGAAUUCUGGGUUGGAAAAGGAGCAAAUAUUAGAGACCUAUUCUGCACAACUCCAAUAGUCCAGAAACUACACGAAAGUCAAUUUUGGAAUAUAUUAAAAAUAUUGGACGAAGAAAACACCAGAGGGGGCCACCCAGCAGCCACGAGGGUGGAGGGCGCGCCCUACCCCCUGGGCUCGCCCCUGCCUCGUGGGCCACCUGGCAGGCCUCCGAUGCCCAUCUUCUGCUAUAUGGUGUCUUUUGCCCUGAAAAAAAGCACAAGGAAGCUUUCGGGACGAAGCGCCGCCGUCUCGAGGCGGAACCUGGGCGGAACCAAUCUAGGGCUCUAGCGGAGCUGUUCUACCAGGUAAACAUCCCUCCGGGAGGGGGAAAUCACCGCCAUCGUCAUCACCAUCGAUCCUCUCAUCGAGAGGGGGUCAAUCUCCAUCAACAUCUUCACCAGCACUAUCUCCUCUCAAACCCUAGUUCAUCUCUUGUAUCUGAUCUUUGUCUCAAAACCUCUUAUUGGUACCUGUGGGUUGCUAGUAGUGUUGAUUACUCAUUGUAGUUGAUGCUAGUUAGUUUAUUUGAUGGAAGAUCAUAUGUUCAGAUCCUUAAUGCUAUUAAAUACCCCUCUAAUUAUGAACAUGAAUAUGAUUUGUGAGUAGUUAUGUUUGUUCCUAAGGACAUGGGAGAAGUCUUGUUAUAAGUAAUCAUGUGAAUUUGGUAUUCAUUCGAUAUUUUGAUGAGAUGUAUGUUGUCUUUCCUGUAGUGGUGUUAUGUGAACAUCGACUACAUGACACUUCACCAUUGUUUGGGCCUAGGGGAAGGCAUUGGGAAGUUAUAACUAGAUGAUGGGUUGCUAGAGUGACAGAAGCUUAAACCCUAGUUUAUGUGUUGCUUCAUAAGGGGCUGAAUUGGAUCCAUAUGUUUCAUGCUAUGGUUAGGUUUACCUUAAUUCUUCUUUUGUAGUUGCGGAUGCUUGUGAGAGGGGUUAAUCAUAAGUGGGAUGCUUGUCCAAGGAAGGGCAGUACCCAAGCACCGGUCCACCCACAUAUCAAAUUAUUAGUAACGAACGCGAAUCAUAUAAGCAUGAUGAAAACUAGCUUGAUAGUAAUUCCCAUGUGUCCUCAGCAGCGCUUUGCUUUAUAUAAGAGUUUGUCCAGGAUUGUAAUUAGCUGCAAAAAGGGUUGGGACACCUUGCUGCACCUUGUUUACUAUUGUUACUUGUUACUCGUUACGAAUUACCUUAUCACAAAACUAUCUGUUACCGAUAAUUUCAGUGCUUGCAGAGAAUACCUUACUGAGAACCGCUUCUCAUUUCCUUCUGCUCCUCGUUGGGUUUGACACUCUUACUUAUCGAAAGGAAUACGAUAGAUCCCCUAUACUUGUGGGUCAUCAAGACUCUAUUCUCGCGCCGUUGCCGGGGAGUGAAGCGCCUUUGGUAGGUUGAAUUUGGUAAGGAAUCAUUUAUAUAGUGUGCCGAAAUUUACUGUCACUUGUUACUAUGGAAAAUAAUCCUUUGACGGGCUUGUUCGGGGUAUCUUCACCCCAAACAAAAGUGCAAAGAGUUUCUCCUCAACCUACUGAACCUACUGAAAAUAUUUACUUUGAAAUUCCUUCGGGUAUGAUAGAGAAACUGCUAGCUAAUCCCUAUACAGGAGAUGGAACAUUACAUCCUGAUAUGCACCUAAUCUAUGUGGAUGAAGUUUAUGGAUUGUUUAAGCUUGCAGGUAUGCCCGAGGAUGUUGUCAAGAAUAAGGUCUUCCCUUUAUCUUUGAAGGGAAAGGCAUUGACAUGUUUUAGGCUAUGUGAUGAUAUUGGAUCAUGGAACUACAACCGAUUGAAAUUGGAAUUUCAUCAGAAGUUUUAUCCUAUGCAUCUGGUUCAUCGUGAUCAUAAUUAUAUAUAUAAUUUGUGGCCUCGCGAAGGAGAAAGUAUUGCUCAAGCUUGGGGGAGGCUUAAUUCAAUGUUAUGUUCAUGCCCCAAUCAUGAGCUCUUGAGAGAAAUUAUUAUUCAAAAUUUUAUGCUCGACUUUCUCUCAACAAUCGCUCCAUGCUCGAUACUUCUUGUACCGGUUCUUUUUGAUGAAGACUAUUGAAUUCAGAUGGGAUUUUUCGGAAUGAAUUAAAUGCAACUCUGAAGAUUGGGAACUCGGCGAAGGUAAGGAGUCAGGUAUGACACCUAAGUUUGAUUCUGUUAAAUCUUUUAUGGAUACCGAUGCUUUUUGUGAAUUUAGCACUAAUAUGGACUUGACUCUGAGAUAGUAGCUUCUUUCUGCGAAUCAUUUGCUACUCACGUUGAUCUCCCUAAGGAGAAGUGGUUUAAAUAUCAUCCCCAUUGAAGUGAAAGUAGUAGAACCUAUUAAAGUUGAAGAAAAGACUAUCAAUUAUAAUGUUGAUCCUAUUGUUCCUACUGCUUAUAUUGAGAAACCACCCUUCCUGUUAGAAUAAAGGAUCAAGCUAAAGAUUCAACUGUGGUUUGUAAAAGUAAUGCUAGAACACCUACACCCCCCUGAGAAAAUUAAAGUUGAACCUAGUAUUGCUAUGGUUAAAGAUCUCUUACUCGAUAAUAUUGAUGGGCAUGUUAUUUAUUUCUAUGAUGAAGUUGCUAGUAUUGUAGACCUGAUACUAAAAUUAAACAUAGACCUAUUGUUGGCAUGUCUAUUGUUUCUAUUAAAAUAGGAGAUCAUUGUUAUCAUGGUUUAUGUGAUAUGGGUGCUAGUGUGAGUGCAGUACCUCAUUCCUUAUACAAAGAAAUUAUGCAUGAUAUUGCACCUGCUGAAAUAGAAGAUAUUGAUGUUACAAUUAAGCUUGCCAAUAGAGACACUAUUUCACCAAUUGGGAUUGGUAGAGAUGUUGAAGUCUUGUGUGGGAAAAUUAAAUACCCUACUGAUUUUCUUGUUCUUGGUUCCCCGCAAGAUGACUUUUGUCCCAUUAUAUUUGGUAGACCCUUCUUGAAUACUGUUAAUGCUAAGAUAGACUGCGAAAAUGAUAUUGUUACUGUUGGUUUAGGGGAUAUGUCUCAGGAUUUUAAUUUUGCUAAAUUUCGUAGACAAUCCCAUGAUAAGGAAUUGCCUAGUAAAGAUGAAAUUAUUGGUCUUGCUUCUAUUACCGUGCCUCCUAAUGAUCCUUUAGAAGAAUAUUUGCUAGACCAUGAAAAUGAUAUGUUUAUGAAUGAAAGAAGGGAAAUAGAUGAAGUAUUCUUUAAGCAGGGACCUAUUUUGAAACACAACUUGCCAGUUGAAAUCCUAUAGGAUCCUCCUCCACCCAAAGGAGAUCCUGUGUUUGAGCUUAAACAAUUACCUGGUACUCUUAAAUAUGCUUAUCUUGAUGAAAAGAAGAUAUAUCCUAUUAUUAUUAGUGCUAACCUUUCAGAGCAUGAAGAAGAGAAAUUAUUGAAAACUCUGAAGAAGCAUCAUGCCGCUAUUCGAUAUACUCUGGAUGAUCUUAAGGGCAUUAGUCCCACUUUAUGCCAGCAUAAAAUAAAAUUGGAGAAAGAUGCUAAACCAGUUCUUGAUCACCAACGACGGUUGAAUCCUAAGAUGAAAGAAGUGGUAAGAAACGAAAUAGUAAAGCUUCUGGAGGCAGGUAUAAUUUAUCCUAUCGCUGAUAGUCAGUGGGUAAGUCCUGUCCAUUGUGUCCCUAAGAAGGGAGGUAUUACUGUUGUUCCUAAUGAUAAGGAUGAAUUGAUCCCACAAAGAAUUGUUACAGGUUAUAGAAUGGUAAUUGAUUUCUGCAAAUUAAAUAAAGCUACUAGAAAGGAUCAUUACCCUCUAGCUUUUAUUGAUCAAAUGCUAGAAAGACUAUCUAAACAUACACAUUUUUGCUUUCUAGAUGGUUAUUCUGGUUUCUCUCAAAUACCUUUGUCAAAAGAGGAUCAGGAUAAGACCACUUUUACUUGCCCUUUCGGUACCUUUGCUUAUAGACGUAUGCCUUUUGGUUUAUGCAAUGCACUUGCUACAUUUCAAAGAUGUAUGACUGCUAUAUUCUCUGACUUUUGUGAAAAGAUUGUUGAGGUUUUCAUGGAUGAUUUCUCCAUUUAUGGAACUCUUUUGAUGAUUGAUUAAGCAACCUUGAUCGAGUUUUGCAGAGAUGCGAAGAAACUAAUCUUGUCUUGAAUUGGGAGAAGUGCCACUUUAUGGUUAAUGAAGGUAUUGUCCUGGGGCAUAAAAUUUCUAAAAGAGGUAUUGAAGUUGAUAAAGCUAAAGUAGAUGCUAUUGAAAAGAUGUUGUGUCCUAAGGACAUUAAAGGUAUAAGAAGUUUCCUUGGUCAUGUUAGUUUUUAUAGGAGGUUUAUUAAAGACUUCUCUAAAAUUUCCAGGCCUCUGACUAAUAUCUUACAAAAAGAUGUUCCUUUUGUCUUUGAUGAUGGUUGUGUAGAAGCAUUUGAAAUACUUAAGAAAGCCUUGAUUUCUGCACCUAUUGUUCAGCCACCUGAUUGAAAUUUACCCUUUGAAAUUAUGUGUGAUGCUAGUGAUUAUGUUGUAAGUGUUGUUCUAGGACAAAGAGUUGAUAAGAAAUUAAAUGUUAUCCAAUAUGCUAGAAAAACUCUAGACAGUGCCCAGAGAGAUUAUGCUACUACUGAAAAAGAACUUUUAGCAGUUGUGUUCGCUUGUGACAAGUUCAGACCUUAUAUUGUUGAUUCCAAAGUAACUAUUCACGCAGAUCGUCUGCUAUUAAAUACCUUAUGGAAAAGAAAGAUGCUAAACCUAGACUUAUUAGAUGGGUUCUCUUGCUACAAGAAUUUUAUUUGCAUAUUAUUGAUAGAAAGGGAGCUGAGAACCCCGUUGCAGACAACUUGUCUAGGUUAGAAAAUGUUCUUGAUGACCCACUACCUAUUGAUGAUAGCUUUUCUGAUGAACAAUUAGCUAUCAUAAAUGCUUCUCAUACUGUUCCAUGGUAUGCUGAUUAUGCUAAUUACAUUGUUGCUAAAUUUAUACCACCUAGCUUCACAUACCAGCAAAAGAAAAGGUUUUUCUAUGAUUUAAGACAUUAAUUUUGGAAUGACCCACACCUUUAUAAAGGAGUAGAUGGUGUUAUUAGACAUUGUGUACCUGAGCAUGAACAUGAACAGAUCCUACGCAAGUGUCACUCUGAGGCUUAUGGAGGACACUCCACUGGAGAUAGAAUUGCACAUAAGGUAUUGCAAUCCGGUUUUUAUUGGCAUACUCUUUUCAAAGAUGUCCGUAAGUUUGUCUUGUCUUGUGAUGAAUGUCAAAGAAUUGGUAAUAUUAGUAGACAUCAAGAAAUGCCUAUGAACUAUUCACUUGUUAUUGAACCAUUUGAUGUUUGAGGCUUUGAUUAUAUGGGACCUUUUCCUUCCUCUAAUGGGUAUACACAUAUUUUAGUUGCUGUUGAUUACGUUACUAAGUGGGUAGAAGCUAUUCCAACUAGUAGUGCUGAUCAUAACACCUCUAUUAAGAUGCUUAAAGAAGUUAUUUUUCCGAGGUUUGGAUUCCCUAGAUAUUUAAUGACUGAUGGUGGUUCACUUUUUAUUCAUGGUUCUUUUCAUAAAAUGCCUGCUAAGUAUGAUGCAUGGAAUUGUAUCUCCAUACCAUCCAUAGUCUAGUGGUCAAGUAGAAUUGAGUAAUAGAGAGAUUAAAUUAAUCUUGCAAAAGACCGUUAAUAGAUCUAGAAAGAAUUGGUCCAAGAAACUUGAUGAUGCAUUAUGGGCCUAUAGAACUGCAUAUAAAAAUCCUAUGGGUAUGUAUCCAUAUAAAAUGGUUUAUGGAAAAGCAUGUAACUUACCUCUCGAACUAGAACAUAAGGCAUAUUGGGCUAUUAAAGAGCUCAAUUAUGAUUUCAAACUCACCAGUGAGAAGGGGCUAUUUGACAUUAGUUCACUUGAUGAAUGGAGAACCCAAUCCUAUGAGAAUGCCAAAUUGUUUAAAGAAAAAGUUAAAAGAUGGCACAAUAAAAGGAUACAAAAGUGUGAGUUUAAUGUAGGUGAUUAUGUUUUGCUAUAAAACUCUUGUUUAAGAUUUUUUGCAGGAAAACUUCUUUCUAAAUGGGAAGGUCCUUAUGUUAUCAAGGAGGUCUAUCAUUCCGGUGCCAUAAAAAUCAACAACGUCGAAGGCACAAAUCCAAAGGUGGUGAACGGUCAAAGAAUCAAACAAUAUACCUCAGGUAAUCCCAUAAAUGUUGAAACCAAUGUUAUUUACACCGGAACCCCGGAGGUGUACAUAAGGGACACUUUCCAGAACGCUUCAGACUCCAAAAAGGAAUAGGUAUGUGGUACGGUAAGUAAACCGACUCCAAAACUGCUCAAAUAGCGAUUUUCUCCAUUUUGGAAUAUUAAAAAAAUUAGGAAAAUAAGAAGUAGUCCGAAAGAGACACGAGGCAUCCACGAGGGUGGAGGGUGCGCCCUACCCCCCUGGGUGCGCCCCCUGCCUCGUGGAGACCUCAUGUGCCCUCCGGACUUCGUUUUCUUGCACGAUACUUCUUUCGGUCAGUAAAAAUUCAUUAUAUAAUAUCCCGAAGGUUUCGACCACCAUACCACGACAAAAUCCUCUGCUUUUGUUUUGAGCUAUUUUUUUUGACAGAUCUAGAUCACCAUGACGUCUUCAAGUGCCCCCAAGGACAAGUUUUUCGAGAAGGUCAUCAACCCUUACCUCGCAGAGGUGCUGCAACACCCUCAAACCAUUGAGAUGUGUGAGGGGGUGCUGCACAUCCGCGAUGUUAAGGGACCGAGGAGGACCGGAAGCGUGGAGAUAAGACUCAAAGCAAUGGAGCAACAAGUUUUCAAGUGCCAAGGGAUGGUGGAACGCGGACUCAACGCCAACCAAAUGAUGAUCGCGGAGUUCACCAACAACCACAAGCUAGAUGCCAAGAACAUUGGGGAGAUCAUCUUCAAGCUUCACGAGAAAAUUGAGCACCUCCAAGCCCAGAUCUAUGACCUGCAAAACCAAAACUAUGAGUAUGAAUAUAGAUUCAAUAGAAUGAGUUUGGCUGCAAAUUUGAGGAUCCCGGAGAAUUGAUCAUCUUUCUAUGAUGGUGAGCCUAUGCCUUGGAAGAUGGACGACAAGCCUACAUCAUGAACACUCCAUCAUCACCACCUCCAAAGAAAGAGACAUAAACACAUGGGUAUGGGCACUUCCCUUGGCAACUUCCAAGCUUGGGGGAGGUGUCCCGGUAUCAUAUCACCAUCACACUCCUAUCUUUACCUUUUUUCUUAGUUCGAUCCUUUUGGUUAUAUCUUGAUCUAGUAGAAUAAAUUUCAGUAUGAUCUAGCUUUGAGUUUUGUUUCGAUCCCUAUCCAUGUAAUCGAGUCCGUGGGCUAAAUAUAAUAAAGAUUAAUUUUGAGUUGAGGGAUUUUGCUAUCUUGCUAUGAUCUUGAGGGAAUAAAAGAAUGAGAGAAAACGAUAAAAAGAAAUAAAAGAUCAUAUUGAUCUUAUGGAGAGUAAUGACUUCACAUAUAAAGAGUAUGAUGAAUAAAAGCUGUUGAGAGUUGACAAACAUAGUUUUGGUCAUCGUUGCAAUUAACAGGAAGUAAUAAAGAAAGAGAGGUUUUCACACAUAAAUAUAAUAUCUUGGACAUCUUUUACGAUUGUGAGCACUCAUUAAAAUUUGACAUGCUAAAAAGUUGAUGUUGGACAAGGAAGACAACAUAAUGGGUUAUGUUUUCUUAUAUCCGAAUAAGUUAUAUUGUCAUGGAUCAUCCAACAUGUUGAGCUUGCCUUUCCCCUCAUGCUAGCAAAAUUCUUUGCACCAAGUAGAGAUACUACUUGUGCUUCCAAACAUCCCUAAACCCAGUUUUGACAUGCUAAAAAAUGCUCUCUGAAUAUGUAUGAUCUAUUAGUGUGAAGAAAAUAAGCUUUAUACGAGCUUGUGAUAUGGAAGAAAUAAAAGCGACGGACUGCAUAAUAAAGGUCCCUAUCACAAGUGGCAAUAUAAAGUGACAUUCUUUUGCAUUAAGAUUUUGUGCAUCCAACCAUAAAAGUGCAUGACAACCUCCGCUUCCCUCUGCGAAGGGCCUAUCUUUUAUUUUUACCUUGUACCCUUAUACAAGAGUCAUGGUGAUCUUCACCUUUCCUUUUUACACUUUAUCCUUUGGCAAGCACUAUGUGUUGGAAAGAUCCUGAUAUAUAUAUAUAUAUAUAUAUCCACUUGGAUGUAGGUUUUCAUAAAUUAUUAUUGUUGACAUUACCCUUGAGGUAAAAGGUUGGGAGGCGAAAUUAUAAGCCCCUAUCUUUCUCUAUGUCCGAUUGAAACUUCAUACCCAUAAGUAUUGCAUGAGUGUUAGCAAUUGUGAAAUACUAAAUGAUAGUUGAGUAUGUGGACUUGCUGAAAAGCUUUUAUAUUGACUCUUUCCGAUGUUAUGAUAAAUUGCAAUUGCUUCAAUGACUGAGAUUAUAGUUUGCUAGUUUUCAAUGAAGUUUUUGAUUCAUACUUUACAUUGUGAAUAGAUUAUUACUUUAGCAUAAGAAAUCAUAUGACAAUAUAUAUGUUGUUGUUCUUAGAAUGAUCUUGAUGGCCUCAUGUCCGUAUUUUAUUUUAUCGACACCUCUAUCUCUAAACAUGUGGACAUAUUUUUCAAUAUCGGCUUCCGCUUUAGGACAAGCGAGGUCUAAGCAUGGGGGAGUUGAUAUGUCCAUUUUUCAUCAUGCUUUUAUAUCGAUAUUUAUUGCAUUAUGGGAUGUGAUUACACGUUAUGUCACAAUACUUAUGUCUUUCCUCUCUUAUUUUAUAAGGUUUACAUGAAGAGGGAGAAUGCCGACAGCUGGAAUUCUUGGCUGGAAAAGGAGCAAAUAUUAGAGACCUAUUCUGCACAACUCCAAAAGUCCUGAAACUCCACUAAAGUCAGUUUUGGAAUAUAUUAAAAAUAUUGUGUGAAGAAAGCACCAGAGGGGGGCCACCCAGCAACCACGAGGGUGGAGGGUGCGCCCCCCUGCCUCAUGGGCCACCUGGCAGGCCCCUGAUGCCCAUCUUCUGCUAUAUGGUGUCUUUAGCCCUGGAAAAAUCAUAAGGAAGCUUUCGGGAUGAAGCGCGGCCGUCUCGAGGCGGAACCUGGGCAGAACCAAUCUAGGGCUCCGGCGGAGCUGUUCUGCCAGGGAAACAUCCCUCUGGGAGGGGGAAAUUGUCGCCAUCGUCAUCACCAUCGAUCCUCUCAUCGAAAGGGGGUCAAUCUCCAUCAACAUCUUCACCAGCACCAUCUCCUCUCAAACCCUAGUUCAUCUCUUGUAUCCGAUCUUUGUCUCAAAACCUCAGAUUGGUACCUGUGGGUUGCUAGAAGUGUUGAUUACUCCUAGUAGUUGAUGCUAGAUGGUUUAUUCGGUGGAAGAUCAUAUGUUCAGAUCCUUAAUUCUAUUCAAUAGCCCUCUGAUUAUGAACAUGAAUAUGAUUUGUGAGUAGUUACGUUUGUUCCUGAGGACUGCUACGUCUUGACCUUGUGUUGGUUUUCCUUGAAGAGGAAAGGGUGAUGCAGCAAUAGUAGCAUAAGCAUUUCCCUCAGUUUUUGAGAACCAAGGUACCAAUCAAGUAGGAGGCUCCUCAAAAGUCCCACGCACCUACCCAAACAAACAAAGAACUCGCAACCAAUGCAAUAAAGGGGUUGUCAAUCCCUUCACGGCCACUUGCAAAAGUGAGAUCUGAUAGAUAUAGUAUGAUCAGAUAAAUAUAUUUUUGGUAUUUUAUAAUACAGAUUGGAAAAGUAAAGAUGCAGAUAAAAGUAGAUUGAAAGCUUAUAUGAUAAAAGAUAGACCCAGGGGCCAUAGGUUUCACUAGUGGCUUCUCUCAAGAUAGCAUAAGUAUUACGAUGGGUGAACAAAUUACUGUUGAGCAAUUGAUAGAAAAGCGAAUAAUUAUGAGAUUAUCUAGGCAUGAUCAUGUAUAUAGGCAUCAUGUCCGUGACAAGUAGACCGACUCCUGCAUGCAUCUACUACUAUUACUCCACACAUCGACCGCUAUCCAGCAUGCAUCUAGAGUAUUAACUUCAUAAGAACAGAGUAACGCAUUAAGAAAGAUGACAUGAUGUAGAGGGAUAAACUCAUGCAAUAUGAUAUUAUCCUCGAUGGCAACAGUAAAAUACGUGCCUUGCAACCCCUAUUGUCACUGGGUAAGGACACUGCAAGAUUGAACCCAAAACUAAGCACUUCUCCCAUUGCAAGAAAGAUCAAUCUAGUAGGCCAAACCAAACUGAUAAUUCGAAGAGACUUGCAAAGAUAACUCAAUCAUACAUAAAAGAAUUCAAAGGAGAUUCAAUAUUUCUCAUAGAUAAACUUGAUCAUAAACCCACAAUUCAUCGGAUCUCGACAAACACACCGCAAAAAGAGUUACAUCGAAUAGAUCACCACAAGAGAGGGGGAGAACAUGGUAUUGAGAUCCCAAAAGAGAGAAGAAGCCAUCUAACUAAUAACUAUGGACCCGAAGGUCUGUGGUAAACUACUCACAACUCAUCGGAGGGGCUAUGGUGUUGAUGUAGAAGCCCUCCAUGGUCGAUUCCCCCUUCGGCGGAGCGCCGGCAAAGGCUCCAAGAUGGGAUCUCACGGAUACAGAAGGUUACGACAGUGGAAAUUGUUUUUUGUUGGCUCCCUGGAUGUUUUCGAGGUACGUGGGUAUAUAUAGGAGGAAGAAGUAGGUCGGUGGCCGCUCGUGGGGCCCACGAGAUAGGGGGCGCGCCCUCCACCCUUGUGGCCACCUCGGCUGCUUCUUGGCUUGCACUCCAAGUCCUCUGGAUCACGUUCAUUCCAAAAAUCACGCUCGUGAAGGUUUCAUUCCGUUUGGACUCCGUUUGAUAUUCCUUUUCUUCAAAAUACUGAAAUAGGCAAAAAAACAACAAUACGGGCAGGGCCUCCGGUUAGUAGGUUAGUCCCAAAAAUGAUAUAAAUGUGUAAAAUAAAGCCCAUAAACAUCCAAAAGGGGUAAUAUAAUAGCAUGGAACAAUCAAAAAUUAUAGAUACGUUGGAGACGUAUCAAGCAUCCCCAAGCUUAAUUCCUGCUCGUCCUCGAGUAGGUAAAUGAUAAAAACAGAAUUUUUGAUGUGGAAUGCUACCUAACAUAAAUCUCAAUGUUAUUUUCUUUAUUGUGGCAUGAAUGUUCAGAUCCAAAUGAUUCAAAAUAAAAGUUCAUAUUGACAUAAUAAAUAGUAAUACUUCAAGCACACUAAUCAAAGCAAUCAUGUCUUCUCAAAAUAACAUGGCUAACGAAAGUUAUCCCUACAAAAUCAUAUAGUCUGGCUGUUGCUCUAUCUUCAUCACACAAAGUAUUUAAUCAUGCACAACCCCGAUGACAAGCCAAGCAAUUGUUUCAUACUUUAGUAAUCUCAAACUUUUUCAACUUUCAUGCAAUACAUGAGCGUGAGACAUGUACAUAGGACUAUAUGUGGAAUAGAAUGGUGGUUGUUGAGAAGACAAAAAAGGAGAAGAUAGUCUCACAUCAACUAGGCGUAUCAUCGGGCUAUGGAUAUGCCCAUUAAUAGAUAUCAAUGUGAGUGAGUAGGGAUUGCCAUGCAAAGGAUGUACCAGAGCUAUAAAUGUAUGAAAGCUUAACAAAAGAAACUAAGUGGGUGUGGAUCCAACUCGGUUGCUCACAAAGACCUAGGGCAUUUUGAGGAAGCCCAUCAUUGGAAUAUACAAGCCAAGUUCUAUAAUGAAAAAUUCCCACUAGUAUAUGAAAGUGACAACAUAGGAGACUCUCUAUCAUGAAGAUCAUGGUGCUACUUUGAAGCACAAUGUGGUAAAAGGAUAGUAGCAUUGUCCCUUCUCUCUUUUUCUCUCAUUUUGUAUUCUUUUUUUCUUUUUUCUCCUUUUUUCUUUUUUUUCUUUUGGCCUUUUUUUGGCCUUUCUCUUUUUUCUUCUGUAAAUUCCGAAGUCUCAUCCCGAGUUGUGGGGGAAUCAUAGUCUCCAUCAUCCUUUCCUCACUAGGACAAUGCUCUAACAAUGAAGACAAUCACACUUUUAUUUACUUACAACUCAAGAAUUAUAACUCAAAACUUAGAACAAGAUAUGACUCUAUAUGAAUGCCUCCGGCGGUGUACCGGGAUAUGCAAUGAAUCAAGAGUGACAUGUAUGAAAAUUAUGAAGGUGUCCUUGCCACAAAUACGAUGUCAACUACAUGAUCAUGCAAAGAGCAAUAUGACAAUGAUGAUGCGUGUCAUAUAAACAGAAUGGUGGAAAAUUGCAUGGCAAUAUAUUUCGGAAUGGCUAUGGAAAUGCCAUAAUAGGUAGGUAUGGUAGCUGUUUUGAGGAAGGUAUAUGGUGGGUGUAUGGUACCGGCGAAAGUUGCAUGGCACAAGAGAGGCUAGCAAUGGUGGUAGGGUGAGAGUGCGUAUAAUCCAUGGACUCAACAUUAGUCAAAAGAACUCAUAUACUUAUUGCAAAAAUCUACAAGUCAUGAAAAACAAAGUAUUACACACAUGCUCCUAGGGGAAUAGAUUGGUAGGAAAAGACCAUCGCUCGUCCCUGACCGCCACUCAUAAGGAAGACAAUCAAUAAAUAAAAUUGUGCUCCAACUUCAUCACAAAGUGGUUCACCAUACGUGCAUGCUACGAGAAUCACAAACUUCAACACAACAAUUCUUUAAAUUCAUAAGCACCCAACUAGCAUGACUUUAAUAUCACUACCUCCAUAUAUCAAAACAAUUAUCAAGUAUCAAAUUGAUCAUAGCAUCCAAUUCACUUCCUACGAUAGUUUUUAUUAUAACCAACUUGGAUGCCUACCAUUCUAGGACCAAUUUUAUAACCAUAGCAAAUACCAUGCUGUUCUAAGAGACUCUCAAAAUAAUAUAAGUGAAGCAUGAGAGACUAGCAAUUUCUACAAAAUUAAGCCACCGCCGUGCUCUAAAAGAUAUAAGUGAAGCACUAGAGCAAAAACUAUCUAGCUCAAAAGAUAUAAGUGAAGCAUGUAGAGUAUUCUAAUAAAUUUCAAUCAAAUGGGCUUCUCCCAAAAGGUGUGUACAGCAAGGAUGAUUGUGGAAAACUAAAAAUAGAAUACUAAUAUCAUACAUGACGCUCCAAGCAAAACACAUAUCAUGUGGUGAAUAAAAAUAUAGCACCAAGUAAUGUUACCGAUAAAAGAAGACGAAAGAGGGGAUGCCUUCCGGGGGCAUCCCCAAGCUUAGGCUUUUGGUUAAUCUUGAAUAUCUUGGUGUGCCAUGGGCAUCCCCAAGCUUAGGAUUUUGCCACUCCUUAUUCCAUAGUCCAUCAAAUCUUUACUCAAAACUUGAAAACUUCACAACACAAAACUCAACAGGAAAUCUCAUAAGCUCCGUUAGUGAAAGAAAGCAAAACCACCACAUAAGGUACUGUAAUGAAAUCAUUCUUUAUUUAUAUUGGUGUUAAACCUACUGUAUUUCAAGUUCUCUAUGGUUCAUACCACUUAAUACUAGCCAUAGAUGCAUCAAAAUUAGCAAACAACACACGAAAAACAGAAUCUAUCAAAAACUGAACAGUCUGUAGCAAUCUGUAACUAACGCAAACUUCUGGAACUCUAAAAAUCCUAACACAAUAAGAAGUCCUGGAAAAUUUGUUUAUUGAUCUACAUCAAAAUGAAUCAACGCAAAACCAUGUUUCUGUUAUUUAACAAAACUAAUUUUGUGCAUGCAAAAUUUCUGUUUUUCAGCAGAAUCAAAUUAACUAUCACCGUAGGUUAUCCUAUAGGUUCUACUUGGCACAAACACUAAUUAAAACAUAAAAACACAUCUAAACAGAAGAUAGAUGCAAAAUUUAUUACUAAACAAAAACAAAAACAAAAAACAC
rnacentral:lncRNA from 1 species